AUUGAACGCUGGCGGCAGGCCUAACACAUGCAAGUCGAGCGCGAAAGCACUUCGGUGUGAGUAGAGCGGCGGACGGGUGAGUAACGCGUAGGAAUCUACCUAGUAGUGGGGGACAACUCGGGGAAACUCGAGCUAAUACCGCAUAAGCCCUACGGGGGAAAGCGGGGGACCUUCGGGCCUCGUGCUAUUAGAUGAGCCUGCGUUGGAUUAGCUAGUUGGUGGGGUAAAGGCCUACCAAGGCGACGAUCCAUAGCUGGUCUGAGAGGAUGAUCAGCCACACCGGGACUGAGACACGGCCCGGACUCCUACGGGAGGCAGCAGUGGGGAAUAUUGCGCAAUGGGCGAAAGCCUGACGCAGCCAUGCCGCGUGUGUGAAGAAGGCCUUCGGGUUGUAAAGCACUUUCAAUUGGGAGGAAAGGUUCACGGUUAAUAACCGUGAGCUGUGACGUUACCUUUAGAAGAAGCACCGGCUAACUCCGUGCCAGCAGCCGCGGUAAUACGGAGGGUGCGAGCGUUAAUCGGAAUUACUGGGCGUAAAGCGCGCGUAGGUGGUCUGUUAAGUCGGAUGUGAAAGCCCCGGGCUCAACCUGGGAACUGCAUUCGAUACUGGCAGACUAGAGUGCGAGAGAGGGAGGUAGAAUUCCAUGUGUAGCGGUGAAAUGCGUAGAUAUGUGGAGGAAUACCAGUGGCGAAGGCGGCCUCCUGGCUCGACACUGA
rnacentral:rRNA from 1 species